CAGCAGCCGCGGGAAUACAGAGGGUGCAAGCGUUAAUCGGAAUUACUGGGCGUAAAGCGCGCGUAGGUGGUUCGCCAAGUUGGAUGUGAAAUCCCCGGGCUCAACCUGGGAACUGCAUCCAAAACUGGCGAGCUAGAGUAUGGUAGAGGGUGGUGGAAUUUCCUGUGUAGCGGUGAAAUGCGUAGAUAUAGGAAGGAACACCAGUGGCGAAGGCGACCACCUGGACUGAUACUGACACUGAGGUGCGAAAGCGUGGGGAGCAAACAGGAUUAGAUACCCCCGUAGUCCCUGUCUCUUAUAC
rnacentral:rRNA from 1 species